UGACUGAUUUGGCUAACUCUAAUAGUGGUUCUGACCUCACUCUCGGGCCUUUGGUGUGGGGAAAGAGCCUGCAGCCAGGACAGCUACUGCUUGAGGUCACUAAGAUGAGAAAAUGGAGGCCUGGAGAACUGAAGAGCCUGUCCAAGACCAGCUAAUGAUCAAGGCACAGAGUGAGAGUGCUUCCUUCCCCUUGGCCCCUCACCUUCCCCUUUGGAAUGCUCACAGCCACCGAGAUCUGCUUCCCACCGUACAGGAGGCUCUCCUCUUCCUGGCCACCCUGAAGGUCCAACUCCCUUCAGAAUGCUCUGGUGACAUUAAAACUCAGAUGUCCUUCGGAACAGAGACCUGCAUGAAUCCUGUACUCGCCGGUGCUGAGGUGGGGGUGGGGAAUGGGGCUGGGGCAUGACCUCAAAGACUACCACACAGCCCCCAGAAGUGGCUUCACUACAGCACCCAGCCU
rnacentral:lncRNA from 1 species